AGAGAUUAAUGGACACUGCAUACGAACUGAUUUAGAAGUCAAUCAAACCUGUUGGUAUGAUGAACAGUGUAAUGCAACUGCAAAUUCGAGUGUUUGUAGAAAGAACAUUUGUGUCUGUACGGAUGAACAUUAUUUUGCAAAUGGAUCAUGCCAACCAUAUAAAAAAGAAUUGCCAGCUGGUGGUACGGAAACAUCAAAGAAGCCACAACCAUUGCAAG